CCAAUCGCGUAUAUUAAAGUUGUUGCAGUUAAAAAGCUCGUAGUUGAAUUUCGGGAUUCGUCCAUUGGUCAGGCUUAACUGUCUGUACUGAUGUGUCGGAUUUCUACCUUCUGAAGAACCUUCAUGCCAUUAAUUUGGUGUGUUGGGGAAUCAGGACUGUUACUUUGAAAAAAUUAGAGUGUUUAAAGCAGGCUAACGUCUGAAUACAUUAGCAUGGAAUAAUGAAAUAGGACGGUACGGUUCUAUUUUGUUGGUUUCUAGGAUCGGCGGAAUGAUUAAUAGGGAUAGUUGGGGGCAUUAGUAUUCAAUUGUCAGAGGUGAAAUUCUUGGAUUUAUUGAAGACUAACUACUGCGAAAGCAUUUGCCAAGGAUGUUUUCAUUAAUCAAGAACGAAAGUUAGGGGAUCGAAGACGAUCAGAUACCGUCGUAGUCUUAACCAUAAACUAUGCCGACUAGGGAUUGGACGAUGUUAAUUUUUUAAUGACUCGUUCAGCACCUUACG
rnacentral:rRNA from 1 species